rnacentral:rRNA from 1 species
UACGGGGGGAGCAAGCGUUGUUCGGAUUUACUGGGCGUAAAGGGCGCGUAGGCGGUCAGCACAAGUCAGUUGUGAAGUCUCCGGGCUUAACUCGGAAAGGUCAACUGAUACUGUGCGACUAGAGUGCGGAAGGGGCAACUGGAAUUCUUGGUGUAGCGGUGAAAUGCGUAGAUAUCAAGAGGAACACCUGCGGCGAAGGCGGGUUGCUGGGCCGACACUGACGCUGAAGCGCGAAAGCCAGGGGAGCGAACGGG